AAUACAUUAGAUAUAGAUGUUACAAGAACUACCUGUGCUGCAAGCACCAGAAGCAUGUAGGAAACAGUACGAUUACAUGCAGUUUGUGAGAUGCUAUCGUCUACAACUGCUGUUUCACCACUGCCUAAUAAUUUGUUAGACCUGAUGAUUGCCCAAUCAGGCUAUUAACUGAGCUGCCUAUACGGAGGAGCCUAAAUAUAAAACGUGGUUCAGAUUUUACUCCUUAUGUGAUGAGGCACUGGCACGGGCUGUCCAGAGAAGCUGUGGAUGCACCAUUCCUGGAGGUGUUCAAGGCUAGGUUGGAUGGGGCCCUGGGCAGCCUGAUCUGGUCUUGCAGUUGGCAACCCAGCCCAUGGCAGGCAUUAGAACUAGACAAUCUUUGAGGUCCCUUCCAACCCAAUCCACUCAAUCCACACAAUCUUUGGCUCUUAUUCUGCAUGCAAAUUUUUGCUUCGAGUCCAUGCUUUUUACUUGAUUUCCCUAGAGAUUUCCCUCUCAAUUAAUCCAAACAUUUCCUCUCCUUCAGUUCCAUCUGGAUAUGGGUUUGCCGGGCAGAAGGAGGUGCUCUUGUAGGAAUCAUCAGGCAAAAGCUGAUGCAAGUGCAUGCAAGGCCUGAUCCCACUCAACCGGAGGCACCAAGCUUUUCUGCUGACUCUGGUGACACUGGCAGCACGCUCACGUGCUGUUUUGUCAUGCCCACACCUCUGCCUCACCUCGCAGACGCCUGAGUCACCGCUCCUUGGUGCUGUGUGGGCCGUGAUUAAUAUUUCCUUCCUGCACCCGUCAUGCAGACUGCGAUUUUCACUCUGGCUUUUUGUUUUCCUCCUUCCCCCCUUCCCUCUCCGUGCUGAGACGGAGAACAAUUCCUGGAAAGGACGGCUUCUUUCCCCCACACUGCACAAACACCGCUCGCGCCGUCAGGGAGGAGAGAGGGGACGUUCGGCAACAUAUGGUCGGGAGGGUUUGGGGGUUUUCAGAUGGUGAAUGACCAACGAGGUUUCAAAGGGGUUUUAUUUAUAAAUGAUAGACUCCUGAGAGAGAAAUAAUGGCUGCUCUCCCAAGCAUAAAAGAAGCAAUUCACCUGACAUAAAACCCGGGGACAAAAUUAGCUAAAUUAAAGCGAGAGAUGGCAACUGUAGUAAGUUUUUUGUUGUUUUUUUUUUUUUUUUCUUUUCCUUCUGAAUGGUGAAUCAUUUUAAUUUUGUUUUCCCCUCCUUCCUUGGAAGGAAGAAAAAAAAAAAAAAGCAAAAGCAAAGUGGCUUGGAUCUGAAAGAACAGAUGGUGCCCUGCUCAGCCCUGCAACGAGCUCUGCAGCGCGCAUUCCUUUACUCUGUCCUCUCAGAUAACUGAGUUAUACAGCACACGACCAUCUGGUGUAUGACACAUCUUGUGUCCCCCAAACAAUGCCCCGGCAAACCUCUUCAGGGGAGAGGUUAGUUUCUAGGGUAACAGCAGCAUGUGCAGCUCCGCGCCUUAUUGAGAUUCAGGCCUCCUCACUUGUCCCCAUUCUUCUCCUUCCUAUUGUUGUCACUUGAGCUUUUGCUGCUUGGUUACUCAGAGACUGACAAUAUCCAUGAGUAUUUUGUCCCCAGCCCCAAAACCAUUGUCUCCAAAUUUUGUUUCAUUAUUUAUGUUUUCAAUAUCCAAUGGUUGGCUGAAGCAUCUGCUGUAGAGUGAUAAGGCAAGUGCCUAUUUAGGAGGGCUGUGCUGCUGCCUGACAACAAUGCUUUGAAUUAUUCAGGUUGUGGUUGGACAAGUCUUUGCAAAAGCCAGGAUAUCCAUGAAGCACUGAGGUGACUUUAUUUAUUUGCCUGCUUCUUUUUUUUUUUUUAGGUGCUUGCAUCCUUUAAGCUGGACAAAAAAAGACAGGCAAUUUCUGGAGGAAGUAGGUCUGCUUGUUACAAGUCUCACGAUUUUUCCUUGCUAGAAACAAUUUGAAAAGAAAACGUUGGCUUUGCUUUUCUAUUGGUUUUCUAUGGGGUGGGUUGUUCCAAAGUGAUGUUUUUUGAGCACUGAUUAUCUCUUAUCAAAGUAUAGCCAAAGUCUGGGCUAUAACCCAAGCACAGGGACUGUGCAUCAUACUCUGAAAUUCUGUUGUAGAACCGUAACUCGGAUGGUUUCAUCAGCAAGCAGAAGUAGUAGAUGAAUGUCUUCACCACCAACACUACGCAUAUGCCCACAGAAUCCUUUACCCCGACACAGAACAGUCCUACCAGUGGUGUUAGUGUCCUCAAAUAGUUGUAAUUGACAUAGAUUGCCACAACAUUCAUUCUGUAACACAACAUAGACCCACAACAUUCAUUCUAUAUCUGCAUGGCAUAGAACCUUCAUUCAGAGGAGUUGAAAAUAUGUUUAGAAACCUACCACAUCAAGCAUGAAGUUUUACGAAGCAUUAAAACCUAAAAUUAAGAAAAUACUGGUGGCCUUUAAGCACAAAUGUGCUGAACUUCGAGCUCAACUGCUUCCAUAAGUCAAGGUAUAGAUAACUUUUAUAAGAUACUGCAUCCUGUCUCUCAGGUGAAGGUCAGGUAUUAUAAAACUACCAAUAACAGUUACGAGAGAUUCUGUAUUCAUGCAUUAAAUAACAGCAGCAUACAUACAUUCAAGAAAUGUGUAGCUUUGGCACUGAGGAACUUGGUUUAGUGGGCAUGGUGGGGAUGGUUGGACUUGAUGGUCUUGGAGGUCUUUUCCAACCUUAAUGAUCCCAUGAUUCUAUGACAUCUAUCUGAAUAUUGUGAUACAUUUGUUGUAGUGUCAAAUCUGAUUCAUUAUUUUUGCUCAUUUAUAACAUUCUAUGGAUGAUACUUCUGAACACUUACACUAUUUAUGUAUAUAUAUAUACGUACACAUAUAUAUGUAUAUAUUUGACCAAGAGGCAAUUUUAAAAAAGAUUUGCCUAAAAUAUUUCAGAUCCACUAUUAGGAUAAGAAGAAAUGAGGUGUAUGGUUCUCUCAAAUCAAAACCACCCUCAAUACCUUGCUUGGUAGACCUUAGAGUUGGUGGCAGAUCACUGUGAGCAGUAAUGCCGAGCCAGAAGACUCGUUUAAAAAUAUUCUGUUUUUAAGAAUGUUUUAAAAUAUGCUAAUUAAGCUAAGGUUUGAUUGGCAGCACGUUUUGCCCUCAGUCUGCUUGCUAAGUGUUCCCUUACAGGAGUGGUAUAUUCUUCCAUAUCAGGGGUUUCUCUGUCCAAUCUAGCAAAGCAAAAGAUUAAGGUUGCUCUCUCCAUGAGUAUAUAUGGGAAUAAGUGCUGUUUCACCCUAAGAACAAUGCUACCACAGGACAGGUACAUAUAUCAUCCAUGAGUACAUUUGUGAAGGUUUCUAAACACCAGAGAAGAGGAAUUCUGCAAUAUCACCCUGGUGUGAAUGUCACGUUGUCACCUGGUUCAUUUGUGAUUGCUUGCAAAGGCAGGGAACUGGUCUGUUUGACUCAAGACUUUCUGCUGCUCCUGCAUUUCAUGGGCUUUAAGAGCAGAAGAGCUCACCAGACAUCUGGCUGGAGCUCUGCUCAGGCCACAGACCUCACCCAGUUCCUUUCUCCUGAGGUAAGCAACUUUAUUUAAGCAUUAUCUUGAGCAUUGUUCAGUCUUGGUGUAGUAACACAACAAUCCAUUCCUUGCCCUGAGGUUAUUACAGCCUUAAUUCCUCCACUAUUAAAAUGGACAACUAUUCUUUCAGGGCAUGAACUUGUUCACCAGUAUCUUUGAUUCUUAUUUGGUUUUUCAUCAGCAAAUUGUAAAUUCUUCUGGUGUAGGAAAUGAUCUUGCUAUAACCUAGACUGCAAUAAGCCUGGUCUGUGAGAGAAAUACAUGAACGAAUCAAGAGAAGUUUUAGCUUUCAGUCAUUCCUUCUAUUCUGUACCUCCUUCUGAUUCUUUACCUCAGUAUCUUCAAAGCUUGUUCGAAAACAAUUGAUGUGCCUCCAUGCCACACUGCAGCAGAAUCAUACAUUGUACUGCAAGGAAGGCCCUGCUUUCUUCUUCAUUUUAAUGAGCACUGGCCAGGCUGGCAUGAUUCUUACCGCUUCCAGCCAAGUGAGAGCAAGUAGGAGAGGAGUUAUAAGGCUAAGUGUGAGGGGUCUCAACAAAGCACAGUAUUCUCCUAUUUAUAGGAAAUAUAUCAGUGGCGUGGACCAAUCAGCCAGCCCUGUGGAGUGCUGAGAAGUACAUGAGUUUGGAGCAAGUCCUCUUCAAUAAGUAGACAACUCCUUUGGCCAUGAGGUUACAGAAGCUGAAGAUCUCUGAGGGAAGAAGUAACAUGUACCCUGGAUAGCUUCUUCCCCAUUUUAUGGAGAGGAAGGUUAUAGCACAGAGGACGAAGCUUAGCUCACUGACAUGAAGAAGCAAUGACUUUGCUAGAUUUGUACCAAGAUCUCCCUGCAUGGCACAAGGUCCAUGCUGGAUUGCAGCACUAUGCCUUUGUCCAGACCUCCAAGAGCCAAAUUAAGCCAACCAGUCAUUCACAGCAUCUGUUCCUGCUGAAAGCACAGCAAAUAGCUUCUCAGCAGAGAUUUCUCUUUGGGAAGGAUCACUGAGCAGCCAGAAAGACAAAUUAAAUUAGGAAGCACAAAGCAGAAGGCCAUGAGUAGAAGGGAAAAGGAUAUACUGACAUUCACGUGUGAAUCAGAUCACGCGCAAAGAAGUCAAGUGUGCUUGUUUUUUCAGAAAUGUCUGAAUAUUUUUAUACUUUAAGAAGAAAAAAACGAUGGCACAGUCUGUUUAGAGGCAAUGGGAAGGAAAAAGCAAAACAAAACAAGUGGGGCCAUGAGACAUGGUGCGAUUUGCAUCUAAAUACGUUUUAGCUAGAAGAACAUGUUCAGAGGAAAGCACAGCAUUGCCAGUUCACGAGACUAACUUUCUGAUAUCUUUGUGGGAACCAAAUGAAUUGCAAAACAUCUGCAAGGUCCAAAGUGUCAAUUAUGCCUUUAUGUAGAUGGAGGAAAUGUCACAUGAUUGAGGCAGUCAUUGGACAUGGUCAAUUGUAUGUUUUUAUCCUCUGCUUAGCCUUAAAGCCUCACUCAACAGUCCCCUCAGACAAAGGCACUGUCAGAGAGGGAGAUGGAUCAGUUGGCCACUCACAGGAGUCGCUUAUCAGCACAGAAAGUGUCCCUGGCCUCGAACAACUCUGACAUUCUCUUUGCAUACCCUGCUUCAGUGGUGCAGCUACAAGUCCUCCUUGAGAGCCUGGCAGCGAAACGUAGCUAGGCAAACAACCCAACACAAAGCUCAGAUUUGGAAAAGGAACCACGCAAACAAGCAGAUUGCAGACACUUCUCUUAAACCAUACCUGUGUUUCUCCGUCAGGUUUCUGCUCCAGCUCGCAAGUGACAAGUUUUUUUAAACAUGCCAACUGCCCAGAAGCAUCUCACAGGAACGUGUAAAAUGAAGUCAUGCAUCAUUCAGGGAUCGCAGGAGCUGCCAAACAGAAUGGUUUUGAAAGGCCCAUAUGCAUAGCAGCCAAUGCCAAAUAUCUUCACUUUAAUGGCUCACGUGUUACAGUUUAUACUGAGCACUUCAGCAAGUCCCAGCAAUAUUCUUUCUGGAUUUGAAAACUUGCAUUACUUCUCAAGGAAACUUUUAAACCCAGCAACAUUUGUACUGAACAAUUUGUGCGUGUUUUACUGCAGUCAACAUUUGCAGCCAACAGCAUCUCUACACUGUAAAACUGCACCGAAACACCACUGGCACUGCUUCCAGCUGGUGGGAUGGUGCAGCUCCCUUCAUAUCAAGGGAGCUUGAAUGGGGCUUGUGGUCAUUAACAUAGUUAAUUGUCAUGCUAUUCCAUCACCAUGGAUGCUCAUCUAAAAUCUGACACCCACGUAGCCCUGGCUGAACAUAUCUGGAUCCAUUAAGUGGGUGUCCACCAGAUGAGAUGCAACCUGGGUAAGGCAACGACCCACAAACAACAAAGCGCACAAAAGAAAGUCCAGGAAGCCCUCUGCAGAGCUCACAACCAACUUGUCACAGUGUCAACAGGCCCUGAAUGCAACAUGCCCAAAAAAACCAGCAGCUGAUGUGGAUGCACAGCCAAGGUAGGACACUCGCAUCAACCAGGCCUCGUAGCAGUGGAGGGAGAAAUGUGGGUUGCUGCCAUAGGGCUGAGCACUCCAAGCAGGAGGCAAGCGAGCAGAAUGCACAAUGUGUCUGCAAUUGCUUUGGGAAGCAUGCAGCCAAAACUGUAAUCUGUGCUACACACAAGAGAUAAAAUCUGUUCUGAAUCGUGGAAGCCCUCACGUUGUUUUAAUGAGAUUUCUGUGUAUUUAUAUGUACACACAACUGCUGUCCUCCCCCUGCCCGCUGCGUGCCUGCUCCCACUGCUGGCCUGCAAAGCAUGUCCUGCCUUGGAAAUAGAGUUUACACACGCACAUGACUCCCAAAAUUAACACGUUGCUCUGGUUGUGGCGUCACAACAGAGUAACCUAUCCACCUAAACACAACAACAGCACAAGGGAUGGGAUUGCUCUGUGUGAGCUGCCUGGCAUCCAAAACGAAGGUAUGUAUUUAAAGGCAUCGGAUAAGCCUACCCGUGCAGGUAUUCCAGGAAAGGAUGAAGUGUGUCUCACGAUUCCAGGAACGGAAGGCAGUUUGUAAAUCACGUGCACUGUGAGAUAAACCCCAGACAGCCCUGCAGUGCGGCGUAGAUUUGGAUGGCUUACGUCAGGCGCGUUUUGUAGCAGAGCACGGGGCAGCCUCGUUCCAGCAGAACAGCACUUGAAGAGAUGAUUCCUGGAAAGUGCUUUCCAUCUGAAUUUUUGGGCAGUGGUUUCCUUGUGCCAGCAAAGCCUGUGUAAGUCAGGGCUCUGUGAAAGAGAACAUUUAAUACAGUGCAAAGCCCAGCAGCCGAGGAGAGAUCGGGAAAUCAGCAGAUCUGGUGAAUGAAUCAGGCUCAGCCCACAAAAAUCUCACUGCAGGAAAGCAGCCAUUGCCAGGAGGGGUCAGGCUGUUGUUCUCCAUCCACUGCCACUGAAGCAAACAGCAGCACAUAGUUGAGUAGAAAAGAAACCUAACUGGAGCAUAAGCCAUUGGUUAUAAUGUCUUGAUUCUGUGCUUGUUUUGUAUGUUUGUAAGACCUGUCUGUAUACAGAACUUAAAAGCAUCCAGUCCUGUGGUCCAUGAAGACAUGAACUGUCUGUAAUGAGCUUAUCUAGAAGGCUGGGUCCCACUUAUGAAAUCUGUUACCUUUUACCAAGUAUAUGAGGGAACAGCAGACAUUGGGACUAUUCAGAUGGCAGUUUCCUGAUCCUCUGCACUUACUUCAAGGGUAAUGGUGGCAAUUCCAGCCUUAUCCCACCUGAAAGGUCAGGAUGGAAAGCUGCUGAAUGCAUGGUUGUAAACAGCUGUUUUCUCUUCAUCUGCCUUGUGCAUCCUCUGGAAGAGAACCACAGAAUCAUAGAAUGGUUUGUGUUGGAAGGUUCCCUUAAAGGCCAUCUGGUACAAUUCCCUGCAAUGAACAGGGAUACCUACACUACAUGGGUGCUCAGAGCCCCAUCCUGUCUGAUCUUGAACGUCUCCAGGGAUGGGGCAUCCACCACGUCUCUGGGCAGCCUGUUCCAAGGAACAGACAUUUGCUGGUCACAGAUAAAAUAAAAAGGUGUUUUCUGUUGUCAUCGUUGUCAUGAGUAUUCACCAAGAUUGAGUAUGUGCAUGGUUCCCUACUCAACUGCUGCUAAAGUAAUGAAAGUCUUGUACCUGAAUUCGGGAGGAGUUCAGCUAGGCUUGGUGCUCUUCUGGUGGCAAAUAUUAUAGGAUUAAUCCUAGAAUCACAGAAUCAUUAAGGUUGGAAAAUACCACUAAGAUCACCAACUCUAACCCCAGCCCACUCCCACCAUGCCCACCAACCACAUCCCUCAGUGCCACAUCUCCACAGUUCUUGAACAUCUCCAAGUACAAUGAUUCCACCAGCUGCCUGGGCAGCCUGUGCCAGUGGAUCACCAGUCUUUCUGAGAAGAGAUUUUUCUUAAUAGCCAACAUGAACCUUCCCUGGCAUAGGCUAAAGCCAUGUGAUUGACUUCAGCUCGCAGCCUGUGCCCUUGGAAGAUUCAGAACUCUCACUGAUGUGUCAUGGCAGCAAUCAAAGCAGGGCAGCAGUGAAUAAUGGUCCCCAGCUGUACUCCCUGACCCCCACCCUCACCACAGUGGGGGUGGGGUGGUAUUGUUUUAAACUUUCUCUAUUUCCCUAUAUGGAAUUUACAAACCAGCUCAUUGGCUUUUCUCAGAAUUUCAGCUCCUUCUCCUUAGUUUAAACAUUCCUCCCAUCCCUUUCUUUUCCCCUCUUGCCAACUUGGUGUUCUGUAUUUUUCAUUAUCUCCUUCUUUUACUAAAUCCUUAUCUUAAAAAUAGUGCAUUUGAUUGUGUGCAAUAGUAAAUUUUGCUCCUGGAAUAACUCUGCCACCUCGCUUUGGCCAAAUUACAUGUACAUCAACUCCUACUAAACCCAUCUAACACGACACUCGUGGUAUUUAAAAUCUGGCUAAAACCAAAAUCUAAAUGCUUUAAUUUUACUACCACUUCCUGGCUUUUGUGGUGGGGAAAAGAAAAAAAAAAAAAAAAAAAAAAAAAAAAAAAGCAUUAUAUUCAUUUUAAAAUCACUUCAGGUGUUUUCUUUGCUCAUCAAAGAAAAACCAUCAAGGUUAUUCAUUGUGUUCUCUUUGUUAUCACUAGAGGUUUAAACAUGCCAUGUAAGUAAUCCGUGGCCAAUUAAAACACUCAUUUCUGUUAUAAUUGCAGCAGUCAGGUUUGGAGGCGUUUGGGAUGGGUGGAACAGGUGGGACAAUGGCACAGGGUGAGAUUUGUUGCUUUAUUCUUGUAUGAAAUGAAUACAGAUGUGGCUAAUUCCAAUUCAUGUUCUCCUUCUUCAGAGUCUGCCAGCAGCUGGGGCUCACUCAAGACACAAAAUGGACAGUACUGACAGCAGGGACUGGUAGUGGCCAGGAUGCAGGAGUGGGCAUCAAGGAGAGCAUGCCCCUUCCCAGCCAGUUCCUCCCAUGUUACCUAACUCAGGCAUUCCUUUGCACUCCCUGGCCAUGCCCUUCGCUCUUCUCUCCCUCAAGACUUGGCCUUCCAUUGAAGGAUCACAGCAAACCGCAGAACCUCAGCACAAGGCACAGUCUCAGCAUCAGCUACAGGAGGAGCACGCACUCAACCCAAGGCACAGCCACAGCAAGGGCUGGGCACUGUGCUGCCCGUGGCGAAGAGUGCAGCAUAGAAAGGACCCAGGAACGAGGGAGGCUAAAGUAGUACAGAGCCUUGCUUGGGUGUGUGGGGCCAUCUGCCACCGCAGAAGUACAAUGCCGGAUUCUUGAAAUGUAAAAAUAGAUCUCAAAAGCGACAUGUUUUAAUGAACUGAGCACAAAGGAACAUGGGCGAAAUAAACUGAAAACAGAA